UACGGAGGAUUCAAGCGUUAUCCGGAUUUAUUGGGUUUAAAGGGUGCGUAGGCGGACUGGUAAGUCAGAUGUGAAAGUUUACGGCUCAACCGUGAAAUUGCAGUUGAUACUGUUGGACUUGAGUACACAUGAGGUGGGCGGAAUUUGUGGUGUAGCGGUGAAAUGCUUAGAUAUCACAAAGAACUCCAAUUGCGAAGGCAGCUCACUGGUGUAUAACUGACGCUGAUGCACGAAAGUGUGGGUAGCAAACAGG
rnacentral:rRNA from 1 species